rnacentral:lncRNA from 10 species
GGCGGAGCCGAGAGAGGCGGGGUCGAUAGCAGGCCGCCCCGCCCCCCACGUCCCCAGGCCCUUGGGCGGCGAAGAGGUCUGGGCGUAGCGGUGACGAAUCCUAAGACAGGGGAUCUCCACUACUGCGGCCACACACUUUUCUCCCAAACGCUUCCCGGAAAGCACCGGAGGGCCGGGCAGUCAGGUGUAAACAGGCGUCCAAUCAAGGACCUGCGGUGUGGGUGGGGGCUGGUGCCCUGCGGUGCGCGCGCACACAGGCGUGCCCUUGGAUUCACGUGCGCCAGUUUUCCCACUUUCUACGGGGUGGGGUGGAAAGUGAAAAUAGUAAGAUCGAGAGGUGGAUAUCCACCUUCCCAACCUCCACCUGAAAUGUGCCCAUCGAGUCCUGGCACCUUUUACCAUUUCUUCACAAUGAAAAAAACUAAACGAUGGAAGGGAAGGGAGUACCCACGAUCACCAAACCCUGUCCUCUGCAAUGUGAAAUGUGCUUUGAAGUCCUUUCACCCUGAGGCUUGCCCGCCUUCUGCUGGUGAAAGAAGCUGGGGGCUAGGCGCGGUGGAUCACGCCUGUAAUCCCAGCACUUUCGGAGGCCGAGGUGGGCGGAUCGUCUGAGCUCUGCAACCCAGAGAGUGACCUGCAUGGAGCGUGCCAGCUGAAUCCCUUGUCCUGUGUCUUCUGGCUGAGUUCUACCAUAGGAAACACCGCCACGUGGGAGAACAGGAAGACAUUGAUGUCUGGGUGCUUAUUCCUAAAGCUUCCUCCCUGAGGUCACCUGGAGGUUGCUGCAUCUCUCUACUGAAGGCCACAGUUCCUGUCAUAUGACUGUCUCCAUCCAGCUGCCUUCUCUAAGUUCCAGCAACCACUGUCUCUCUCCCUUGAUCUUUGAGCCUAAAGGUAAUGCAGGCUCCCUGAUGUUGCUAGCCCUAGGAUACUGCAGCAUUCUUUGUUAGUUUACUAAAACCCUCUGUAAAUAACCCUUUGCUACACUUUCAUCAUCUUUCUUUCUUUCUUUUUUAGAGACAAGGUCUCCCUCUGUCACCCAGGCUAGGGUGCAGUGGCACAAUCACGGCUCAGGACCGGUGCAAGAAGGGAAGGUUGCAUUCAUAAGUUAGCAAACUUCAGAAAGCUCUUUGAAAAAAAAAAAAAAAAAAGAAUCUUAUUACCAUUUUGUUUUUGUAGAAAGCCCACUUGAUAAAAGUAUUAAUAACACACAUGAGAAAGAGCUCACAGUGUUUUCCAGAAAAAAACACUUUGAUUCUAUAAAAGAGGUCAGUAGACUACAAUAUGAAGAAUCCUUCUGUUGGCUUAACUUUUAGACUAUAUGACAAGUUCUCUGACUAUAAAGACACUGAUCAAAAGAACUCAGUUUAGCACAAUAUCCAAAGUCCAAAGUACAAGCAAUAAAAGAAGAAUCAGGUAAAU